rnacentral:lncRNA from 1 species
AGAGAGAACCAGCUUGGUCAGUGUGAGCUGUUUUUAACUCUUCCAGACCCCUGGCCACUCUGCUAGACCCCAUACUUCUGUGCUGUGAUUUUUCUCAAUGGAAAUUGACUCGGGGGCGUGGGCAUGGAGGGAGGGGGCAGAGUUACUGUAUGAUCUCGUCGUGAUUGAGACUUUGGGGAGGCAGCCAGAGCUGGGGUGGGCCGAGGCCACAUGGAAACUGAACAGACCAGCAGUCUGGUCAUUCAACCCUUGUGUCUAGACCUGGAGGCCCGGGAGCGGCAGGCCCAGGCCCAGGAGAGUGAGGAGGAAGAGGAGAGCCGGAGCACCAGGACACUAGAGCAAGAGAUCGAACGCCUGAGAGAAGAGGGUUCCCGGCAGCUGGAGGAACAGCAGAGGCUCAUCCGGGAGCAGAUACGCCAGGAGCGUGACCAGAGGUUGAGAGGAAAGGCAGAAAAUACUGAA